rnacentral:rRNA from 1 species
UGGGGAAUAUUGGACAAUGGGCGAAAGCCUGAUCCAGCCAUGCCGCGUGUGUGAAGAAGGUCUUCGGAUUGUAAAGCACUUUAAGUUGGGAGGAAGGGCAUUAACCUAAUACGUUAGUGUUUUGACGUUACCGACAGAAUAAGCACCGGCUAACUCUGUGCCAGCAGCCGCGGUAAUACAGAGGGUGCAAGCGUUAAUCGGAAUUACUGGGCGUAAAGCGCGCGUAGGUGGUUCGUUAAGUUGAAUGUGAAAUCCCCGGGCUCAACCUGGGAACUGCAUCCAAAACUGGCGAGCUAGAGUAUGGUAGAGGGUGUGGAAUUUCCUGUGUAGCGGUGAAAUGCGUAGAUAUAGGAAGGAACACCAGUGGCGAAGGCGACCACCUGGACUGAUACUGACACUGAGGUGCGAAAGCGUGGGGAGCAAACAGGAUUAGAUACCCGAGUAGUCCCUGAGCGGGCUGGCAAGGCGCAU